GAUGUUGAGAUCUGGGAAGCCAUGUCCGCGCUAACGAAGGCGAUGUGCUGGGAGCUGGUGACGAAAACGAAGGAUACCCUAGAUCAAGUAGGAUUGGCAAUCUAUAAAAAACCGUCCACCAAUGAAUGCUACGAGAAAAGAUCGAAAAGCAAUCCUCCAUUGUGCCAAGAGUCUGAUGAUCCAAAUGCAGCCUGGUAUAUCCCAUUGGAAGCUUGUAUGCACAAAUUGCCUGUAGAUCCUGCUGCUCGUGGGUCCAAGUGGCCAGAACUGUGGCCAAAGCGAGUGGCGAAAACUCCUUACUGGCUGAACAGCUCCCAAACUGGGGUCUAUGGGAAACCUGCCCCACAAGAUUUUGAAGCGGACUAUGAGCAUUGGAAAAAAAUCGUAAGCAAAUCAUAUCUGAAGGGGAUGGGUAUCAACUGGAAAACUGUGAGGAAUGUGAUGGACAUGCGAGCAGUCUAUGGAGGUUUUGCUGCUGCAUUGCGAGACAUGAAGGUUUGGGUCAUGAACGUUGUCUCAAUUGAUUCUCCUGAUACACUGCCCGUCAUCUAUGAACGAGGAUUGUUCGGAAUGUACCAUGAUUGGUGUGAAUCUUUUAGUACCUACCCUAGAACUUAUGAUCUUCUUCACGCGGACCACCUCUUUUCCAAACUGAAGAAGAGGUGCAAGUUAGUCGCCGUGAUGGCUGAAGUAGAUAGGAUACUGAGACCAGAAGGGAAGCUGAUAGUGAGGGACAGUGUGGAGACUAUCAAUGAGAUUGAGAGCAUGGCGAGAUCUCUGAAAUGGGAGAUUAGGAUGACCUUUUCCAAGGACAAGGAGGGAUUGUUGUGUGUUCAGAAGACGAUGUGGCGGCCUAAAGAGGUCGAGGAAGCUUAGAAACAUCGAAGGUGUUUUUGGUAGUUUGUGACACCCUUGCACUAUGUUGUAAGUGUAUUGUUACCGUAAAAUUUUGCUCCAGUGUUUAGGGAAAAGUGCCUAUGAAGUUA
rnacentral:misc_RNA from 1 species